GUGAACGCUGGCGGUGGGCCUAACACAUGCAAGUCGCACGGCAGCACAGUAAGAGCUUGCUCUUACGGGUGGCGAGUGGCGGACGGGUGAGGAAUACAUCGGAAUCUACUUUUUCGUGGGGGAUAACGUAGGGAAACUUACGCUAAUACCGCAUACGACCUACGGGUGAAAGCAGGGGAUCUUCGGACCUUGCGCGAUUGAAUGAGCCGAUGUCGGAUUAGCUAGUUGGCGGGGUAAAGGCCCACCAAGGCGACGAUCCGUAGCUGGUCUGAGAGGAUGAUCAGCCACACUGGAACUGAGACACGGUCCAGACUCCUACGGGAGGCAGCAGUGGGGAAUAUUGGACAAUGGGCGCAAGCCUGAUCCAGCCAUACCGCGUGGGUGAAGAAGGCCUUCGGGUUGUAAAGCCCUUUUGUUGGGAAAGAAAAGCAGCAGGUUAAUACCCCGCUGUUCUGACGGUACCCAAAGAAUAAGCACCGGCUAACUUCGUG
rnacentral:rRNA from 1 species